rnacentral:lncRNA from 1 species
UUGUUUUAAAACGGUCACCAUGCUGGAUUUGGCAAUGCCAUACAAGAGAAUGAAUAGAUAUGACUUAGAAGGCUUGUUGGCGGUCACCCAUGUUGAAAGAUGGUGGUGGUGGUGGGGAAAGAAUGAGGGCACUAGCGGCUCCCUAAUGCCGCACCAGAAUGCAUCACUUUGGAAGUCUUUGGCCUCAAUAAGGGGGGGAAAGUAAAAAACGAGGCUGCAAGGGAAAAAUAACCACAUCGCAGAAGACUUUGUUGUUUGAUUGUGUUAGUUGGUUGAUUUGUUUUUAGCGAAAAAUGUAAAAGACAAAAAUCUAUUUUUAUUUUUUACUUUGUACAAGUACAGUAACUGAUGUACACUGAACAAAAAUAUAAAUGCAACAUGCAACAAUUUCAAAGAUUUUACUGAGUUACAGUUCAUAUAAGGAAAUCAGUCAAUUUAAAUAAAUUCAUUAGGGCCUAAUCUGUGGAUUUCACAUGACUGGGAAUACAGAUCUGCAUCUGUUGGUCACAGAUACCUUAAAAACAAAGGUAGCGGCAUGGAUCAGAAACCCAGUCAGUAUCUGGUGUGACCACCAUUUGCCUCAUGCAGCGCAACACAUCUUCACAUUGAGUUGAUCAGGUGGCCUGUGGAAUGUUGUCCCACUCCUCUUCAAUGGCUGUGCUAAGUUAUUGGCGGGAACUGGAACACGCUGUCGUACACGUCGAUCCAGAGCAUCCCAAACAUGCUCAAUGGGUGACAUGGCUGUUGAGUAUGCAGGUCAUGGAAGAACUGGGACAUUUUCAUCUUCCAGGUUUUGUGUGACAGAUCCUUGCGACAUGGGGCCAUGCAAUAUUAUGCUGAAACGGGAUAGCGCCGAAAGAAUGGCACGACAAUGGGCCUCUGGAUCUUGUCAUGGUAUCUCUGUGCUUUCAAAUUGCCAUUGUUAAAAUGCAAUUGUGUUCGUUGUCUGUAGCUUAUGCCUGCCCAUACCAUAACCCCACCGCCACCAUGGGGCACUCUGUUCACAACAUUGACAUCAGCAAACCGCUCGCCCACAUGACGCCGUAUGCCAUCUGCCCGGUGCAGUUGAAACUAGGAUUCAUCCGUGAAGAGCACACUUCUCCAAUGUUCCAAUGGCCAUCGAUGGUGAUAAUGUCCCCACUGAAGUCGGUUACGACGCCGAACUGCUGUCAGGUCGAGACCCUGGUGAGGACGACGAGCACGCAGAUGAGCUUCCCUGAGACAGUUUGUGCAGAAAAUCUUCGGUUGUGCAAACCCACAAUUUCAUCAACUGUCCAGGUGGCUGGGCUGAGACAUUCCCGCAGGUGAAGAAGCCGGAUGUGGAGGUCCUGGGCUGAUGGAGUUACACAUGGUCUGCGGUUGUGUGGCCGAUUGGACGUACUGCAAAAUUCUCUUGCAGGCGGCUUAUGGUAGAGAAAUUAACAUUCAAUUCUCUGGCAACAGCUCUGGUGGACAUUCCUGCAGUCAGCAUGCCAAUUGUACACUCCCUCAACUUGAGACAUCUGGGGCAUUGUGUUGUGUGACAAAACUCCACAUUUUAGAGUGGCCUUUUAUUGCCCCCAGCACAAGGUGCACCUGUGUAAUGAUCAUGCUGCUUAAUCAGCUUCAUGAUUUGACACACCUGUCAGGUGGAUGGAUUAUCUUGGCAAAGGAGAAAUGCUCACUAACAGGGAUGUAACACAUUUGUGCACAAAAUUUGAAAGAAAUAUGCUUUUUGUGCAUAUGAAAAAUUUGUGGGAUCUUUUAUUUCAGCUCAUGAAACAAGGGACCAACACUUUACAUGUUUCUUUUAUAUUUGUGUUCAGUAUAAUUACCUCAAACAAAACCUAUUUUACUGUAGAAAAGUUAUAUUGUUGUAAAAUAUAAUUAUUUUAUUUUGUGUAAAAUUUGACACGUUUUAUAAAAAGGAAAGUAAUAAGACAUGUCUUUUUUGUUGCUUUGAAUGGUUGGUUAAUAAUUUGUGGAUUUGUUGUUCCAUAAAUGUAGUUUUCUUUAGUUUGUUUUAUUUUACCUUACGGGCAUUUUUGCUUUCUAACAUAGAACAGAGGACAGUAAAUCAUGUUUGAAUCAUGAUUCAUGGGAGAUUUGAUUCAAUCGGGAAUCGAUUCAGUUCCUUUUGGUUCUUUACCUGUGAUUGUGAAACUUGGUGCGUGAUUCAAUCAAACUCGAAUUUCGGUGUUUAAGGAGUAGCUCUUUUUCCCCCAUGGUCAAAUGAAAUGCCAGAAUGGUUAUGGGAACUGUUAAAACCUACUACUACUACCAAGUAGACUCCUCUGACAAGUAGAUGAUUCCGUUUUCCACAAUAAGAAGUCUAUGCAUGGACAGUAGUUUGUAAACAAAGGCACAGCUGUAAACAUUCCCAUAGCAAGUUGGAUUAAAUGCCAGACCUUGAGGAAUUGAGGACUCUGAUAAAUGGCACCCUACAAAAGUAGUGCACUAUAUAGGGACUAGGGUACAAUUUGGGACGUGGACAAACUGUCACUCAUGAAUUUUUUAUUUUCUUCAUUUAUUACAUCUUAACGUAGGUAAUAUAUAGUCUAAAGGAGGGGUUUCUUUGUCAUAUUAAUGCCUACUUACGACUCCCUAGCCUAGUUCCAAAUCAGUUUGUGCUGUCUUGCAAAGUCCUUGUGAGUCAUGACUCGUGACCAUAGGAGUUAGCUUGAGUGUCUUUCAGGGGGCGUUCUGUCCAGGGGGUGUACUUUUACAACCACCUGCCUCACCCUACUGAAAUAGGAGAUGGGCUCUUGCCCUAUGGGAUGUCCUGGCUCAGAUGAGGCUUACUUUCUGUUCAUGCCAUAACGAGCAGAAACAGACUUGCACCCAGACUACAUGGGAGUUUUGGCAAGACAACACAAAUCGAUGUGGGAUCCGGGCUGUACUACUCCCUCUCAUGUAUGAGUGCUCCACUGUUGAUUGUUUUGACCGGCUCUUGUUGUGUAAAUAAUGCUGAUUAAAUUAAUUUAAAGAUUUCUCACUUUAAAAAAAAAAUGGAUUGAUUCUUUCAUUCAAAUUCUUGUGGUAAUUUAUCCUUUAUUUAUUCAGGAGAUCAUAAGGAAAUGUGCAAAAUAUCUUAUGUAAUGUCUGCUGAUGUGAAAAUUGUGGAUCGGAGAAGAUUGUGAAUAUUCAGAGCUUGUCCCAUCAUAGCAUAUCUCAGCCCUAAAUAUAACCGAAGCACCAGUUCACGUCUCCUUAGGAUAUUGGAAUUGGUCCAAAAUGCUUGUUUUAUACAUUAUAGCUGCAUUUAAAUGAGAUAUUUUCUAGCUCCCUGGAAUCGAUUCCUACUAAGAAUGACAUUCAGACUACUGAACGUUCACUAGGUCUAUUCCAUUAGUGGGGUUGUUCCACGAAAUGAGUCACUUUGGCAUGUCCCUCUGUGCACCCUCUGUGACUUCUAGGAAGAUUUUAACCGAAAUUUCACUCGUUGUUGAGCCCUAGUUAUUUUGUUGUUUUGACAAAGUAAUAUCUGG